rnacentral:misc_RNA from 1 species
AGAACUACCCAUAUUAAAUUUAAAUAAAACAAAAUUUAAUUAAAUUAAUUUCUCAAAAAAAACAUUUUUUUUUUUUAAGAUCAUGCCGCGGAAUUAAUAAUUCAGCUUCAUGCCUCCAAUUAUAUCUUUCAGUCAUAUAAUUUUUCAUAAUCGGGUUUCCCACAGCCCCAAUGCACAUACUCAUAAUGAAUCACAAAAUAAGGGUCUAUAGUUAGUCUUAGGAUUAAAGUCGGAUGGUUGAGGUGGAGGCGUGUCACGGGAGUUUUAUGUGACCGCAAGAUUCCCAAUAAGUUAAAGGAAAAUUUUACCGUACAGC